AAAUGCUUGCCGUAUGGAAGACUAGUGAUUUUGUUGUUUAGUCUUUGUUAAUAACAAUAAAUCCCUUGUCUUCUUAUGGCCUGCAUUA
rfam:Drosophila busckii chromosome 2R sequence.